rnacentral:tRNA from 1 species
GGAGAGUUGGCUGAGAGGUCGAAAGCGGCGGUCUUGAAAACCGUUGUGGGCGCGAGUCCACCGGGGGUUCGAAUCCCUCACUCUCCG